rnacentral:snRNA from 1 species
UUCUUGAGGGUUCCUUAGGUU